UUAUAGCCCGGAUAGAAACGGCAUCCUUUUUUUGCGGUGGACGAAGCGAAGUGGAGACCACUGCAAAAAAGAUAUAGUGAAUAGCCGGAUAAGCU
rnacentral:sRNA from 1 species